UCCUUCUCUAACCUGCCUCUUCUAUUGUAAAGAUGAGUGAGCUGAGGUCUUUUUCAUAAUUCAAAAGGAAGAAAGGAAUCCGAGGACUUUGGUUAUAUUUUAAUAUCUCCUUAGGUUAUGUAUAUGCCUGCGUAGGUGGCUCAGUGAGACUGAACCAUGCAUGAAUAUAAGAGACAAUGAAGUAGCAGAGGAAGAGCUGAGGAUACAGGUAAAGUGAAGAAAUACUGGAUGGACAGCAUCCCUGAGAAGUUGCAUUCCUCAUUAACUUGUGGUGAACUGGACACCAACUGUGAUGAAAAUUCCCACCAAACCUCUUGAUUGCUUGAGUAACUCCUGAGAAACAUCUUUCAAAAGAAAACCACAGAUUUUUUCAACUGUAGAACAAAAAUCAUAGCCUUGCUCCCAGUGCUUCAUCUGCUUGGAGAUCCUCUACCAGCACCUGGAAUGGCUCAUGUCACUUUAAGAAACAAACUAAUAAUUCACAUGUGUCCUGACUCCUUGUGAAGCUCAAGGGGGUAGUGAAGAGGAAGGAAUCCAGGAGGAAGAGAAGGGAAAGAAUAUUUUGUGAAAAAUAAAUGGUCAUCAAAAAUUGUGUUUUAGUGC